UUUCCUACCUAUCCUAGCUAAUUUACAAUACAAAACAUUAGUUGCAGAAGCAAUUUUCCCAAGAUAUAAAACGAAAUUGGAAACUAGGGAACAUGUUUUUUAGGACUGUCUUGUAACAAAGGAGAUCUGGGAUAAAUUACAGUUUGUAUGGUCACAGGAACUGUUAAAUCUAAAAUAUAUGGAGUGGAUUACCUAUGUUCUGGCGUAUAAACCCAGUGAUUGGUGUUGAACCUUUGUUUGUACUUUAUGGGAAAUUUGGACCGAGAGGAAUAAAUGGCUGCGUGAUGGACAAAAAAGAUCAAGGUCAAGUAUCGCAAACUUCAUUAAAAGCUAUAUUCGAGAAUUGGAUGAGUUGGAGAAGAAGUUACCAAUCAAGAGUCGAGCCAGUGAAAGAUGGUGACCAUUGGAUUCAUCAGUUUUCAAAAUAAACUUUGAUGUUGUAUUUAAUAAUAGAGAAAGCAGGUCUUGUUUGGGAAUGGUGUUACGAGAUUCAAAUAGAGAGAUUUUGAAAUCGAAGAUAGUGAUAAAUGAGGAUAUACUUUCAAUGUUUGCGGCGGAGGCCAUUGCAUGUGUGCAAGUGGUUACACUAAGCAAUGAUUUAGGUUUAACGAUGGUGGAGAUAGAAGGGGACACACUAUUAGUGGUCAAGGAAGUCCAAAGCGAUGGGGUGAAUAGAUUAGAAAUUGGAGCCUACAUUAAGGAUGCGAAACAUUAGGUGAGGGUUUUCAAAAAUAUAGAUUCAAAUGGGUUGGGGGAGGCAAAUGGACUCAUUCUUUGGCAAAUGAAGGGUUAAAGAGGGGAGAACAAAUGUACCUGCAAAAUGAAGUACCUAACUUCGGAAUAGUAGCAACGGAGAAUGAUCGGGGUUGGGAAAGAGAUCUGGAUUUGAGGCGACAUCGAUGAGAACUAGAACGGGAAGUUUUCGUUGGAGAAGGUAUGGGGAAUGUGAAGAAUGCAAAAAGUUUUUCUCCAAAAGCUAUUGUUGAUUCAAGUCAGUUUAGAGGCUUCUAGAACCUGACAGCUCAUUGUUGGAUUAGUUUAUUUAUUUUUGUUGUAUUUUCUUUAUUUUAUUUUAUUGUGUGAUUGUUGUUUAUGCCCAACGGAUUAGAGUGGGCUUUUUUUUUUUGUUUUUUUGUUAUUAUUCAAUCCAACUUAUACUUCUCAAAAAAAAAAAAAAAGAAGAAGAA
rnacentral:lncRNA from 1 species